GGAAGAUCAAGAGCUGUAGUCUCAGAUGAGAUUAGGGCUACUAUAAUUGAUCAUGUUAUAAAUCAUGGUCUAUCAAUGAGAGAGGCUUAUCUGAGAGUGCAGCCAAAUCUGCUACUCUCAACGGUGCUAUCUAUUGUGAGAGAUUUCUGGCAAAACAACAGGCGAGAUGUGCAUUCUGCAAGGGCAGCUGACUGAACUGCCCAUUACAGAAGUAAAUUGAGCAAAGCCUCCAAACCUACUUGUGUGUAAUUGUUUUUGUAUUUCUGCUUAGAACCCAACGGUUACCUCCCACAGGCGGGAGAGGUAGGAUUUUCACUGCUGUGCAGGAAACUGCAAUCGUUGAUAUGGUCAUCAGAAACAAUGGCAUAAAACUGACAGAGAUUCGGGACAGAGUGUUGGCAGACAACAUUACAUUUGGAAAUAUUCACAAUGUAAGCAUAACAACUAUUUCUAGAGUCCUGAAACAACAUCAAGUCAGGAUGAAGCAGUUGUACACUGUCCCCUUUGAGAGGAACUCUGAACGAGUCAAGCAACUCAGGAACCAAUAUGUCCAGGACCUGAGCCCUAGGACCAUGCCUCAGGACUACCUGACAUGAUGACUCCUUGCUGUCCCCAGUCCACCUGGCCGUGCUGCUGCUCCAGUUUCAACUGUUCUGCCUGCGGCUAUGGAACCCUGACCUGUUCACCGGACGUGCUACCUGUCCCAGACCUGCUGUUUUCAACUCUCUAGAGACAGCAGGAGUGGUAGAAAUACUCUCAAUGAUCGGCUAUGAAAAGCCAACUAACAUUUACUCUUGAGGUGCUGACUUGUUGCACUCUCGACAACUGUGAUUAUUAUUAUUUGACCAUGCUGGUCAUUUAUGAACAUUUGAACAUCUUGGCCAUGUUCUGUUAUAAUCUCCACCCGGCACAGCCAGAAGAGGACUGGCCACCCCUCAUAGCCUGGUUCCUCUCUAGGUUUCUUCCAAGGUUUUGGCCUUUCUAGGGAGUUUUUCCUAGCCACCGUGCUUCUACACCUGCAUUGCUUGCUGUUUGGGGUUUUAGGCUGGGUUUCUGUACAGCACUUUGAGAUAUCAGCUGAUGUAAGAAGGGCUAUAUAAAUACAUUUGAUUUGAUUUGAUGAUAUACCACACCUCCUCUGGCCUUAUUGCUUCAUUCUUGUGAGUUGUUUCAGGGUGGCUGUAUGGUACAAGAGGAAGGCAUGAGCUACCCCAGAAACAGGCAGUAUUGAUAGAACAUUUAGCAACGCUGCUAAUCUGAAUAUCAGACACACACACGGUUGAAUAAGUGGCACAGAAAGCUGUUUAUAUGUUGAAAGAGUCUGGUGUUUGAGUGGUGGAAGGGGUCGACUGUAGGGGUUUGAGGGGGAGGUUCAGGGUUACAGCCAGGGAUAUAAUUUAAUUCCCUCAGCUUCAGCAGUGAAAUACCUUGCUUGUGUAAAUCACCCGGAGGGACAACAGAGGUCAUGAAGGUGACACCUAUGAGGCACUAAGGGUUCAUAAUGGAAAGAUGUGGCUGGACACACUGUCUCUGGGUACAUUUUUACCCAUAACACAUUGCUCUCAUGUACCCUUUGGUAAUCCCCUCUGAUUCGAAUGCGCUGCAGAACCUCGACUACUAAUCCAUCAGACCAGGGCGACAGGUGGUUUGGUUAGAGAGUUGGGCCAGUAACCGAAAGGUUGCUGGGUUGAAUCCCCGAGCUGACAAGGUAAAACAUCUGUUGUUCUGCCCCUGAACAAGGCAGAUAACCCACUGUUCCCCGGUAGGCUGACAUUGUAAAUAAGAAUUUGUUCUUAACUGACUUGCCUAGUUAAAUAAAAAAUAAAUACAAAAGGUUUCUGUGUUGUGACAGAGGCUUACUGCGUCUUAUUUUGAUUAAAGUACAUUUAUAUUAACAGAGAGA
rnacentral:lncRNA from 1 species